UCAAGCGCGAGAAGGGCGUUUGGUGGAUGCCUUGGCAGCAAGAGGCGAUGAAGGACGUGAUACUCUGCGAUAAGCUCUGGGGAGCCGAGAAUAGGCUUUGAUCCAGGGAUCUCCGAAUGGGGCAACCCACCUGAAUGUUUGUUAUUAUUGCCUUCGGGCAGCUAAUAACACUCAUGACCAGGUAUUUAUGACCUGAAUAUAUAGGGUUAUAAAAGCAAACCCGGGGAACUGAAACAUCUAAGUACCCGGAGGAAAGGAAAUCAAUUGAUACUCCCCUAGUAGCGGCGAGCGAACGGGGACCAGCCGAGCCUUGAGCGUGAUCAGAACCAGUUGGAAAGCUGGGCCAUAGCGGGUGACAGCCCCGUAUGAGAAGCGUGAUGGGACGUAUUAAGUAGGGCGGGACACGUGAAAUCCUGUCUGAAGAUCGGGGGACCACCCUCGAAGGCUAAGUACUCCUUGCUGACCGAUAGCGAACCAGUACCGUGAGGGAAAGGUGAAAAGCACCCCGACGAGGGGAGUGAAACAGUACCUGAAACCGAGCGCCUACAAUCAGUCGGAGCUUGACUGGACUCUUAUGACACUCUGAGGCCAUGGUCCUCCACGAGGAGUUGAGCGGCAAAAGCCCUCAAGUAACGAAGUGGUAGGGCUGUCGGAUGCUCUGCCCUCAAGUAACAAAGUGGUAGGGCACUAACAUGGCUGAUGGAACGUUUGCAGUAUUGAUGUUCGUGGCGGGUCUGACCGACAUGGGUCUCAAUUAUUGCGGCACGGCAACGGGUUGCCUCGGCAAGACCGAUACGACACCGCGCGUGGCCUUCUCGGCCGGGUCGGUGAUCGAACGGAAUGCCGAAGAAAGCCCGGAAGUUUAUCUUCGCUACGAUCUCGGACACAAGCGCGGGCCAUUCGGCCAGGCCCUGGGUCUGUCGACGGGCGAGGCGGGAUCGUGGAUCGGCUUUGGGUCGACCUACACGAUCAAUCUCGGCAACAGCCCGGUUUACGCCGAGCUGCACUCGAUGCCUGGCAUCUGGGUGGAGAACGAAUUCGACCUUGGAGGGCCGAUCGCCUUCCGAUCCGGGAUCGAGUUCGGCUACGAGAUGCGGAAUGGCUGGCGCGCGAGCCUCAGCUAUGACCAUCGAUCGAGCGCCGGGAUCUACGAAGACAAUCCGGGGAUCGAAACGGUGCAAUUCCGGGUCUCCAUGCCAUUGCGAUGAACGUUCCCGACAGAGUUUAUAAGUGUCCAGUCUUGUGACGGCGUACCUUUUGUAUAAUGGGUCAUCGACUUGGUCUAUCUAGCAAGCUUAAGCCGUUAGGUGUAGGCGCAGCGAAAGCGAGUCUGAAUAGGGCGAUGAGUUAGAUGGAUCAGACCCGAAACCGAGUGAUCUAGGCAUGACCAGGAUGAAGGUAAGGUAACACUUACUGGAGGUCCGAACCCACACCUGUUGAAAAAGGUCGGGAUGAGUUGUGCCUAGGGGUGAAAGGCCAAUCAAACUCGGAGAUAGCUGGUUCUCUGCGAAAUCUAUUUAGGUAGAGCGUCAUCCGAAUACCCCGGGGGGUAGAGCACUGGAUGGGUAAUGGGGCCCCACAGGCUUACUGAUCCUAACCAAACUCCGAAUACCCGGGAGUACUAGAUGGCAGACACACUGCGGAUGCUAACGUCCGUAGUGGAGAGGGAAACAACCCUGACCUACAGCUAAGGCCCCCAAUUCGUGGCUAAGUGGGAAAGCAGGUGGGACGACCAAAACAACCAGGAGGUUGGCUUAGAAGCAGCCAUCCUUUAAAGAUAGCGUAACAGCUCACUGGUCUAAACAAGUUGUCCUGCGGCGAAGAUGUAACGGGGCUCAAGCCACGAGCCGAAGCUUAGGAUGCCGUAAGGCAUGGUAGCAGAGCGUAGUGUGACAUAGGACCUGUCCUCUUUUGCAUCCUUCGGGAUGUAGCGGAGGAACGGGUUCUUUCUGUGAAGCCGGGGCGUGAGCCAUCCGGUGGAGAGAUCACUAGCGAGAAUGAUGACAUGAGUAGCGACAAAGAGUGUGAGAGACACUCUCGCCGAAAGUCCAAGGGUUCCUGCUUAAAGCUAAUCUGAGCAGGGUAAGCCGGCCCCUAAGGCGAGGCCGAAAGGCGUAGUCGAUGGGAACCAGGUUAAUAUUCCUGGGCCAGGAGAUGGUGACGGAUUGCGGAGGUUGUUCAUCCUUAUCGGAUUGGAUGGGCCGCUGAGCAGUCCCUGGAAAUAGCCCUCCUUCGGACCGUACCCGAAACCGACACAGGUGGACUGGUAGAGAAUACCAAGGCGCUUGAGAGAACGAUGUUGAAGGAACUCGGCAAAAUACCUCCGUAAGUUCGCGAGAAGGAGGCCCGGUUCCUAGGCAACUAGGGGCUGGGGGCACAAACCAGGGGGUGGCGACUGUUUACUAAAAACACAGGGCUCUGCGAAGUCGCAAGACGACGUAUAGGGUCUGACGCCUGCCCGGUGCCUGAAGGUUAAAAGGAGGGGUGCAAGCUCUGAAUUGAAGCCCAGGUAAACGGCGGCCGUAACUAUAACGGUCCUAAGGUAGCGAAAUUCCUUGUCGGGUAAGUUCCGACCUGCACGAAUGGCGUAACGACUUCCCCGCUGUCUCCAACAUCGACUCAGCGAAAUUGAAUUGCCUGUCAAGAUGCAGGCUUCCCGCGGUUAGACGGAAAGACCCCGUGCACCUUUACUACAGCUUCAGACUGGCAUCAGGCAUGUGAUGUGCAGGAUAGGUGGUAGGCUUCGAAGCAGGAACGCCAGUUUCUGUGGAGCCAUCCUUGAGAUACCACCCUUCGCCUGCUUGAUGUCUAACCGCGAACCGUUAUCCGGUUCCGGGACCCUCUGUGGCGGGUAGUUUGACUGGGGCGGUCGCCUCCUAAAUCGUAACGGAGGCGCGCGAAGGUUGGCUCAGAGCGGUCGGAAAUCGCUCGUUGAGUGCAAUGGCAGAAGCCAGCCUGACUGCGAGACUGACAAGUCGAGCAGAGUCGAAAGACGGCCAUAGUGAUCCGGUGGUCCCAAGUGGGAGGGCCAUCGCUCAACGGAUAAAAGGUACGCCGGGGAUAACAGGCUGAUACUGCCCAAGAGUCCAUAUCGACGGCAGUGUUUGGCACCUCGAUGUCGGCUCAUCUCAUCCUGGGGCUGGAGCAGGUCCCAAGGGUACGGCUGUUCGCCGUUUAAAGAGGUACGUGAGCUGGGUUUAGAACGUCGUGAGACAGUUCGGUCCCUAUCUGCCGUGGGUGUAGGAUACUUGAGAGGAGUUGCCCCUAGUACGAGAGGACCGGGGUGAACGAUCCACUGGUGGACCUGUUGUUGCGCCAGCAGCAGUGCAGGGUAGCUAUGAUCGGACAGGAUAACCGCUGAAGGCAUCUAAGCGGGAAGCCCCCCUCAAAACAAGGUAUCCCUGAGGGCCGUGGAAGACCACCACGUCGAUAGGCCGGAGAUGUAAGCGCAGCAAUGCGUUCAGUUGACCGGUACUAAUGGCCCGAUAGGCUUGAUUUG
rnacentral:rRNA from 2 species